rnacentral:rRNA from 1 species
UACAGAGGGGGCAAGCGUUGUUCGGAAUUAUCUGGGCGUAAAGGGCUCGUGAGGCGGCCAACUAAGUCAGACGUGAAAUCCCCGGGCUUAACCUGGGAAUGGCAUUUGGGACUGCAAGCUUGAGUGCGGAGAGGGAGACUAGAAGUUCCUGGGUGAUUAGCAGUGAAAUGACGUAGAUAUCAGGAGGAAUACCGAGUGGCGAAGGCAGGUCUCUGGGCUGACACUGACGCUCAUGCACGAAAGCGUGGGGAGCAAACAGG